AUUUUCACAAUGCUUUUCUAUACAGUGUCUGUAAUCUAUAGAUAACAUAACCGAUUAAGUCAGGGGUUGAUCUUUAACUACCAGACACAGGGUGUGGUGCCGGGCUGUCUGCUUGUGGAUUUCAUUUCUGCCUUUUAGUUUUUACUUCUUUCUUUGGAGGCAGAAAUUAGGCAUAAGACAAUAUGAGGGGUGGUCUCCCUUACUUCCAAUGCCAGUUGCAAACCCAGGUUUUUGUUUGUUUGUUUGUUUGUUUAACCUGUGCUUCUGACCAACUGGCUAUAAAUCAGCAUCCUAUGACUUCCUCUUUAGGUUCGCUUAGUUUGGUAGGGCAGCUCACAGAACUCAGGGAAACAUGUUUACUGGUUUAUCAUGAAGGAUAUUGCAAAGGAUACAGAUGAAGAGAUGUAUAGGGUGAAUUAUGGGAAGGGGCAUGGAGCUUCCAUGCCUUCCUUGAGUGCAUCACUCUCCAGGAACCUCCACGUUUUUAGGUGUCCAGAAGGAAGCUCCCUGAAGCCAGUCCUUUUGGGUUUUUAUGGAGGCUUCAUUAUGCAGGCAUGAUUGAGUAAAUCAUUGGCCAUUGGUGAUCAACUCAACCUUUAGUCCCUCUCCCCUCUGAAAGAUAGGGGGUGCUGAAAGUAGAAACCCUCUAAUCCUGCCUUGAUCUUUCUGGGGACCAGCCCGUCAUUCUGAAGCUACCUGGGGGCUGCCAGGCAUCAGUGAACUCAUUAGCAUACUAAAAGAGGAAUUACCUUGAGGAUUCCAAGGAUUUUAGGAGUUGUAUGCCAGAAAACCAAGAUGAAGGCCAAAUAUAUAUUUUAGAAUAUCACAAUCCACCCUGAUCUUUGAACCCAAAUACCUUAUAUCAAAAGGACAUACAAUUGAAAAGAUACUGCCAUAUUGCUAGCAUCCCAUUCAGUCAUUAAUAAUUACUCCAGUCCAUCAUCUCGUGUGACUGUCUUCCAGGGUGAAGCCACUCAGAUUUACAGGUUUCCAUCUAAUCUUGUCAGCUUCCAAAAGCAGGAGGAGUCUUGGCCAACACAUGCUUCACCCUUUCAGGCAGCUGACAUAAUUGAGCUAAGACAGGAUGUCCAGGAUGUCAUCUUUCAAGGUAUUAAAUCCAUUUGUUCAUUCUUUUACCCUCAGCUACUAUUCUUCCUUCUCUUCAUUUAUACCCAAACUUUUCCACCUCUGGAAGAGACAUUAGGUUCAGCUACUGUGCUUGUCUACACUGCAGGCAACAAUACUAGUCUAGCAGCAAGUUCCUUCCCUUCAGUUCAUUCCCAUUGACAUAGGAUAAGGUGAAACAGGUGCAAAACUGUGGAUGAUGAUGCAGGAUAUUUUCAUGACCCCUUUGUUGGAUUAAUGGCAGGGUGUCUCGUUUACUUAGCCUACCCCAUUCAACCCCUUGUGGGAGGGAGCCUGUGAGCAAACGGGCACAGGAACUGACUGGCUUCUGUGGUGCCAGCAAAAGCAAAUUCCACUUGCUUGGGUCUGCUGUGCUUCACCCCUCAUGGGAGGACGCAUGCAGGUGAGCAAGUGCAGAAACCAGCUGCUUUAGUGCCAGCAGGAGUGAACUCUGUGCAGGCCCCAUGGCAGCAUCUAGCUGGAGGUGGCUGCGACCCCAAGGCCCCAGAGGGCGUGUUACAAUGCUCUCUUAGCUCCAUUGUCUGAAGACAGCAGUGUGUUAUCAGCUCAGUGGGCCCUUUGCCUCAUUUUGUGGGGUGGCUGCCCUCCACCAGCAAGGGCAAAGGGCCAGUGUGACAGCCUUUUUGGGUACCUGCACCUGGUGAGUCCCAAAUUCUUAUCUGGUGCCCAAGAGGAAUAAGGUCCCGCAGACGAAUUGAAGGAUGGUGAAUGUGGAGCAUUUUAUUGAGUAAUGAAAGUGGCUCUCAGAGGAGAGGGGAGCUGGAAAGAGGAUGGGAAGGGCAGGUCGCUGUCCCCUGAAGUCAAGCUGCCUCUCUACCUCUCUCUUCCAAAGUUAAGUUGCCUCAUCCAGCCACCAUCUCUGAAGUCGAAGUUGCCUCUCCCCAGUGUCCAGCUGCUUCUUCUGAUGUCCAGCCACUUCUUCUCUCUGUCAGCUGAGUAUGGGUUCUUUAUAGGCACAGGAUGGGAUCAAGGGGGCUGUAGGUAGUUUUGGAAAAGGCAACAUUCAAUUGGUAAAAAGACAUUACUCAGAACCAAUCAGGAGAGAGUGGGCUAACAGAAAUGGAAGUUCUCACUUUGGGCCGUGGGUUUCAGGCUUUUUGUCUCGAAGGUGGGGUUUUGCCAGAGACCUACCCCAUUUGUCUAGAAUUUCUGUGCCUUCUGUUGCUAACACUGUUUUUACCACCAGGCCAUAUAGUUGCAUUUACUGCUAACCCCAAUUAUGCUAGAUGGAGUGAAGUACAACCCACUUCUAUCAGGCCCUUAGGAAUUCUAGCAUAAGAUUUCUUAGGAAUUAUACCUACUUCCAGCACUUGUAGUCGUAGCCCUGGUCCUGUGACCACUGCAUCAGGUAGGGAGAUAAAAGUUGAGGUAAUACAUGGAGAAAAGGAAAAAAGUAGGAUCAUUAUACCAGCAUAUUCCCCCCUUGGCAAGAAUCGCAUAGUCAUACCUGCAUACUCUCCAAUCCCUCUUCCUCAGAUGCACCAGAAAAAUGGAGAAUUUUAGAUCCUUUAGUUCCACUAGUGUUGAGUGUGAGCACACAGUCAUGAAGGUGUGUAAUCCAAUCUUUAUGCUUUUAAAUAGUGGUUUUAAAUCAAUGUUUUAAUUGCCUGUUCUACUUCCCUAUCAAACCAUUACUCUAAGGAGAAUAUCUCUCUGCCUAUUGCUGGACAUUACAGGCUGUACAGUGUGUUCCUUAGUCUGAAGAAAUGAUAUUGGCCAAUAAAUCCAUGCAAUAUCUUAUUUUCUGGUUUAUAUCUAUAUCUCCUUUUUCCCAGAUAUGAACCACAAUUCUUAAGGUUACUGGUAAAUACAAUUAGCGUAUUACAUAAUUGUUUAUUUCCUUUAACCCACACAACAUGCAAUAGUUUCAGAAUAACAGUACUAAAUGCAACCAACAAUAUGAUUACUGAAAAUAGUUUUGAUCUUUUUGUUUUUCAUCUCUUUUGUGCUGCAAUGAUAUCACUGUGUUUUAAACUCACUUGGAAUAGUUAGCCUCUAUGUUUAUGCCUCCAACUAAGUAUACAAUUAAGUUAAUUUGUUAUGUUUUAUUCUCAAUUUGUAGAUGUCUUUUAAAAAAUUAUCUUUUGUUUUACAAUAAGGUAGGAAAUUCACAUGGCUCCAAAGUCAAACAUACCAAGCAGUUUGUAGUAAGCACAAUCACAUCUCCCUAACGAUGUUUACCUCCUAAACCAGAUGUGUGGUGCAAGAAAAGGGUCCAAUUUCAUUCUUUUGCACGUGGAUAUUUGGUUAUCCCAACACCACUUAUUGAAGAGACUCUCUUUUCUUCAUUUUGUCUUCUUGGUGCUCUUGUCAAAAAUUUGUUGAAUGUAUAUAGAUGGUUAAUUUUGGGCUCUCUAUUCGGUUCCAUUGGUCUGUUUCACAGUAUCAUACUGUUUUGAUUAAUGUAGCUUUACAUGUUUUGAAGUCAGAAAGUGUAAGGCCUCCAGCUUUGUUGUUUCUCAAGAUUGCUUUGUCUAUUUGGGUUCAGCUAUUGUUUGUCUAAAUUUUAUGGUUCCAUAUACAUUUUAGGAUUCUUUUUCUACUUCUGCCAAAAAAUGUGACUGGUAUUUUUAUAAGGAUUACUUUGAAUCUGUAGGUCACUUUGGGUAAUGUGGACAUCUUAACAAUGUUAAGUACAUUCCAUGUACAUAUGGUGUCUUUUCAUUUAUUUAUGCCUUCUUUAAUUUUUUUAAUCAAUAGUCUAUAGUUUUCAGGGCAUAAGUCUUCACCUCCUUGUUUGAACUUAUUCUUUAGUAUUUUACUCUUUUGAAUGCCAUUGUAAAUGAGAUUGUUUUCUUAAUUUAUGUUUGCUUUGAUUUUUUGUAGUGUAUAGAAAUGUGACUGAUUUUUGUAUCUUAAUCCCACAACUUGGAUUUAGGUAGUUUUAUCCUGAAACUUUGCUGAGUUAAUUUUUCAAUUCUAACAGUUUUUGUGUGGCAUUGUUUUGGUUUUCUACUUAUAACAUUAUGACAUCUGUGAACAAAGAUAAUGUGACUUCUUCCUUUCAGAUUUGGAUGACUUUUAUUUUUUAUCUUGCCUAAUUGCUCUAGCUACGACUUCUAGAACUAUGUUGAAUAAAAGUAGUGACAGUAGGUAUCCUUGCCUUUUACCUGAUCUUGAGAAAAAGCUUUUAGCUUUUAGCUAUCGAGUAUGAUAUUAGCUAUGGACUUUUCAUUUCCUUUGUUAUUGGAAAGUAAUUUCCUUCUAUUCCUAGUUUGUUGAGUGUUUUUGUCAUGAAAGAGUGUUGAACAUUCUCAAAUGCUCUUUCUGCAUCUAUGGAAAUCACCAUGUCAUUUUUAUUCUUUGUUAUGUUAAUGUGGUAUGUCAUUAUGAUUGAUUUUUGUAUGUUGAACUGUCCUUUCAUUCCAGGAAAAAUUUCACUUUGCUAUGGUAUAUAGUGCCAUUAAUGUACUGCUAAAUUUGGUUUGCUAGGUGACAAUUUUUGCAUCUCUAUUCAGAUUGGUCUUGAAUUUUUUUUCUUGUAGCCUCUUUGUCUGCCUUUGGUAUCGGGGAAAUGUUGGCUUCAUAAAAUGAGUUUGAAAAUAUUCCCUUCUCUUCACUUUUUUUGGAAGAGUUUAAGAAGGAUUUGGCAUUAAUUAUUUAAAUUUUGAUGGAAUUAACUAGUGAAGCUAUCUGGUCAUGGGCUCUUCAUUGUUGGGAGGUGUUUGAUUGUGAUUCUAUCAUUUUACUAGUUUUAGGUCUGUUCAGAUUUUCUAUUUAUCAUGGUUCGGACUUGGUAGGUUGUAUGUUUCUAGGAAUUUAUUCGUUUAUUCUAGGUUACCGAUGUGUUGAUGUAUAAUUGUUCAUACUAGUGUUCUGUAAUACUUUUUAUUUCUGUGUUAUCUUUUUUAAUGUUUCCUCUUUCAUUUCUGAUUUUAUUUGAGUCUUCUGCAUUUUUCCUUUUUUUCUUUUUCUUUUUCUUUUUUUUUUUUUUUUUUUUUUUUUGAGACGGAGUCUCACUUUGUCACCCAGGCUGGAGUGCAGUGGUGUGAUCUUGGCUCACUGGAACUUCCAUCUCCAGGGUUCAAGUGAUUCUCCUGCCUCAGCCUCCCAAAUAGCUGGGAUUACAGCUGCACACUACCAUGCCUGACUAAUUUUGUAUUUUUAGUAGAGAUGAGGUUUCGCCA
rnacentral:lncRNA from 1 species